CCAGACUCCUACGGGAGGCAGCAGUGAGGAAUAUUGGUCAAUGGUCGGGAGACUGAACCAGCCAAGCCGCGUGAGGGAGGAAGGUACAGAGUAUCGUAAACCUCUUUUGUCAGGGAACAAAGGCGGGGACGUGUCCCCGGAUGAGUGUACCUGAAAAAAAAGCAUCGGCUAACUACGUGCCAGCAGCCGCGGUAAUACGUAGGGAGCGAGCGUUAUCCGGAUUUAUUGGGUGUAAAGGGUGCGUAGACGGGGAGUUAAGUUAGUUGUGAAAUCCCAAGGCUCAACUUUGGAACUGCAACUAAAACUAAUUUUCUUGAGUACUGGAGAGGAAAGUGGAAUUCCUAGUGUAGCGGUGAAAUGCGUAGAUAUUAGGAGGAACACCAGUGGCGAAGGCGACUUUCUGGACAGAAACUGACGUUGGGGCACGAAAGUGUGGGGAGCAAACAGGAUUAGAUACCCUGGUAU
rnacentral:rRNA from 1 species